UACGUAGGGCGCAAGCGUUGUCCGGAAUUAUUGGGCGUAAAGAGCUCGUAGGCGGUUUGUCGCGUCUGCUGUGAAAACCUAAGGCUCAACCUUGGGCUUGCAGUGGGUACGGGCAGACUAGAGUGCGGUAGGGGUGACUGGAAUUCCUGGUGUAGCGGUGGAAUGCGCAGAUAUCAGGAGGAACACCGAUGGCGAAGGCAGGUCACUGGGCCGCAACUGACGCUGGAGGUGACGAAAGCGUGGGGAGCAAACAGG
rnacentral:rRNA from 1 species